UACUUUGUCGGUGUACGGCACGAGAGAAUUUGAGUCUCUAAGAGACGAAAGUCAUAAAGUAU
rnacentral:tRNA from 1 species